rnacentral:rRNA from 1 species
GACGAACGCUGGCGGCGUGCUUAACACAUGCAAGUCGAACGAAGUGGCGAACGGGUGAGUAACGCGUAAUCAACCUGCCCUUCAGAGGGGGACACCAGUUGGAAACGACUUCUAAUACCGCAUACUGAAGGAGGGGAUUGCGUCUGAUUAGCUAGUUGGGGGGGUAACGGCCCACCCAGGCGAUGAUCAGUAGCCGGGCUUGGAGGAUGAACGGCCACAGUGGGACUGAGACACGGCCCAGACUCCGACGGGAGGGAGCAGUGGGGAAUCUUCCGAAAUGGACGAAAGGCUGGCGAAGCAACGCCGCGGGAGUGACGACGGCCUUCGGGUUGGAAAGCUCUGUUAAUCGGGACGCGGUACCGGAAUAGAAAGCCACGGCUAACUACGUGCCAGCCGCCGCGGUAAUAC